rnacentral:rRNA from 1 species
UACGUAGGUGGCGAGCGUUUGUCCGGAUUUACUGGGCGUAAAGGGCGCGUAGGCGGGCUGCCGCGUCCGGGGUGAAAUCCCACGGCUCAACCGUGGAACGGCCCCGGGUACGGGCGGCCUCGAGGGGGGUAGGGGCGUGCGGAACUGUGGGUGGAGCGGUGAAAUGCGUUGAUAUCCACAGGAACUCCGGUGGCGAAGGCGGCACGCUGGACCCCUUCUGACGCUGAGGCGCGAAAGCCAGGGGAGCGAACGGG